rnacentral:rRNA from 1 species
GACGAACGCUGGCGGCGUGCUUAACACAUGCAAGUCGAACGGAAAGGCCCUGCUUUUGUGGGGUGCUCGAGUGGCGAACGGGUGAGUAACACGUGAGUAACCUGCCCUUGACUUUGGGAUAACUUCAGGAAACUGGGGCUAAUACCGGAUAGGAGCUCCUGCUGCAUGGUGGGGGUUGGAAAGUUUCGGCGGUUGGGGAUGGACUCGCGGCUUAUCAGCUUGUUGGUGGGGUAGUGGCUUACCAAGGCUUUGACGGGUAGCCGGCAUGAGAGGGUGGCCGGCCACAUUGGGACUGCGAUACGGACCAGACUCCUACGGGCGGCAGUAGUGGGGAAUAUUGCACAAUGGGCGGAAGCCUGAUGCAGCAACGCCGCGUGCGGGAUGACGGCCUUCGGGUUGUAAACCGCUUUCGCCUGUGACGAAGCGUGAGUGACGGUAAUGGGUAAAGAAGCACCGGCUAACUACGUG